GUCUUAACAAAACUCUUAAUGUGUAUAAACACAGACACACCAUUAAAGACAGAGUCAGUGAGGGACUCUCAUCCAGGUAACAGUCUUAACAUAACUCUUAAUGUGUAUAAACACAGACACACCAUUAAAGACAGAGUCAGUGAGGGUAUCUCAUCCAGGUAACAGUCUUAACAUAACUCUUAAUGUGUAUAAACACAGACACACCAUUAAAGACAGAGUCAGUGAGGGUAUCUCAUCCAGGUAACAGUCUUAACAAAACUCUUAAUGUGUAUAAACACAGACACACCAUUAAAGACAGAGUCAGUGAGGGUAUCUCAUCCAGGUAACAGUCUUAACAAAACUCUUAAUGUGUAUAAACACAGACACACCAUUAAAGACAGAGUCAGUGAGGGUAUCUCAUCCAGGUAACAGUCUUAACAAAACUCUUAAUGUGUAUAAACACAGACACACCAUUAAAGACAGAGUCAGUGAGGGUAUCUCAUCCAGGUAACAGUCUUAACAAAACUCUUAAUGUGUAUAAACACAGACACACCAUUAAAGACAGAGUCAGUGAGGGACUCUCAUCCAGGUUCCAGGUAACAGUCUUAACAUAACUCUUAAUGUGUAUAAACACAGACACACCAUUAAAGACAGAGUCAGUGAGGGUAUCUCAUCCAGGUUCCAGGUAACAGUCUUAACAUAACUCUUAAUGUGUAUAUAUAGAAUACUAUACGAGUUUUCGCUAGAUAUCAUUUUUACGAAACGAGUGAA